UACGUAGGGUGCGAGCGUUACUCGGAAUUACUGGGCGUAAAGCGUGCGCAGGCGGUUUUGUAAGCCAGAUGUGAAAUCCCCGGGCUUAACCUGGGAAUGGCAUUUGGGACUGCAAGGCUGGAGUGCGGCAGAGGAGACUGGAAUUCCUGGUGUAGCAGUGAAAUGCGUAGAUAUGCGGAGGAACACCGAUGGCGAAGGCAAUCCCCUGGACCUGUACUGACGCUCAUGCACGAAAGCGUGGGGAGCAAACAGG
rnacentral:rRNA from 1 species